rnacentral:rRNA from 1 species
UACGUAGGGGGCAAGCGUUGUCCGGAUUUAUUGGGCGUAAAGAGCGUGUAGGCGGCCAGAUAGGUCCGUUGUGAAAACUCGAGGCUCAACCUCGAGACGCCGAUGGAAACCAUUUGGCUAGAGUCCGGAAGAGGAGAGUGGAAUUCCUGGUGUAGCGGUGAAAUGCGCAGAUAUCAGGAAGAACACCCGUGGCGAAGGCGGCUCUCUGGGACGUGACUGACGCUGAGACGCGAAAGCGUGGGGAGCGAACAGG